rnacentral:rRNA from 1 species
CCUACGGGAGGCUGCAGUGGGGAAUAUUGGACAAUGGGGGGAACCCUGAUCCAGCGACGCCGCGUGAGUGAAGAAGUAUUUCGGUAUGUAAAGCUCUAUCAGCAGGGAAGAAAAUGACGGUACCUGACUAAGAAUCCCCGGCUAACUACGUGCCAGCAGCCGCGGUAAUGCGUCGGGGGCAAGCGUUAUCCGGAUUUACUGGGCGUAAAGGGAGCGUAGACGGUGCAGCAAGUCUGAUGGGAAAGGGCGGGGGCCAACCCCGGGACUGCAUUGGAAACUGGUGGACUGGAGUACAGGAGAGGUAAGCGGAAUUCCUAGUGUAGCGGUGAAAUGCGUAGAUAUUAGGAGGAACACCAGUGGCGAAGGCGGCUUACUGGACUGUAACUGACGCUGAGGCUCGAAAGCGUGGGGAGCAAACAGGAUUAGAUACCCGUGUAGUC